rnacentral:rRNA from 1 species
UUGGAGGGCAAGUCUGGUGCCAGCAGCCGCGGUAAUUCCAGCUCCAAUAGCGUAUACUAAAGUUGUUGCAGUUAAAAAGCUCGUAGUUGAAUUUCGGGAUCAGUACGCUGGUCAUGCCUUUGGUAUGCACUGGUGUCACUGGUUUCUCCCUUCUGAAGAUCCGUGAUGUCAUUAAUUUGGUGUCGCGGGGAAUCAGGACUGUUACUUUGAAAAAAUUAGAGUGUUUAAAGCAGGCUCACGCUUGAAUACAUUAGCAUGGAAUAGUGAAAUAGGACGUUCGAUCCUAUUUUGUUGGUUUCUAGGAUCAGCGUAAUGAUUAAUAGGGAUAGUUGGGGGCAUUAGUAUUCAAUUGUCAGAGGUGAAAUUCUUGGAUUUAUUGAAGACUAACUACUGCGAAAGCAUUUGCCAAGGAUGUUCUCAUUAAUCAAGAACGAAAGUUAGGGGAUCGAAGACGAUCAGAUACCGUCGUAGUCUUAACCAUAAACUAUGCCGACUAGGGAUCGGAUGAUGUUAAUUAUUUAAUGACUCAUUCGGCGCCUUACGGGAAAC